rnacentral:rRNA from 1 species
GACGAACGCUGGCGGCGUGCUUAACACAUGCAAGUCGAGCGGUAAGGCCUCAUCGGGGGUACAUGAGCGGUGAACGGGUGAGUAACACGUGGGUGAACUGCCCUCAGUACUGGGAUAAGCCUGGGAAACUAGGUAUAAUACCGGAUAUGACCUUUCCUAGCUUGGGGUUUGGUGGGAAGUUUUUUGGGCGGGGGUUGGGCCCGCGGCCGAUCAGCUGGUUGGUGGGGUGGUGGCCUACCAAGGCGACGACGGGUAGCCGGGCAGCGAGGGCGAGCGGCCACACGGUGACGGAGACACGGCCCGGACUCCUACGGGAGGCAGCGGAAGGGAAUAUCAGGCAAAGGGCGUAAGUCAAACGCAGCGUCGCCGCGUGGAGGAUUACGGCCUGCGGAUAGAAAACCUCUUUCAACCCCGACGAAUUUGGACGGUAGGCGUAGAAGAAGCACCGGCCAACUACGUG